UGAGGCAUGAGUCAAUGAACUCGAAUGUGCCCACCAUUAAACCAGGCCCAAGCCCAUGGGUUGCCUGUCCAAAUGUUCAAUUCAAUUCAAUUUUAUUUAUAUAGCGCUUUUCACAAUACUCAAUUGUUUCAAAGCAGCUUUACAUUAAUAGAAGCAGUGGUAACACUUCAGAAUACGGAUCCAUUGUUAAUGAAUAACUACACAGGAACAAAUCAGUAAUGCAGUAUUAACAAUCUAGUAACUACUGUUAACUAACAAGGAACUCUGAUUAACAAACUGGUAAGUAAUAGUACACAGAUGAACGUGGUAGUUCACUAUUAACUAAUCAAUAACUACUAUUUUUUCAUACUUCCAAAAAAACUACUGAGAAGUUUUAUAUUUCAUGCAAACUAAACGACAACUAAUAUAGGACAAAUGAAUAACACUACAUUAACACGUUUACUACUCUAAACUAAUACACAAGACUGUUUACAUUAUCAAUAGGUAAUAGCAGACUUGUUCUCAGGAACUUAUAGAUUCGUCAACCAUCUAACUUAAAUGCCAUACAUACAGUUUCUGCAAAAGACUACGCAGUCUCACAAAGUUUCGUGAUAUAUUUCGCAUAUUUUUUGAUUAUUUUUUCGUGUUAUUAUCCUGAAUUUCCACGUUUUUCGUGAUCGUAUAACGAAUUCCUGUUUUCGUGUGAUUAUCACGUAUUGGUUACUCAACUGUUUUUUCCUAUUUUUAAACCAUUGUUGCUUCGGUAUUGGUUGCGCCUAGUAGGCGUGGUUAUGCUGAAGUAUCGAGACUCGCGCGUUCGGAGAGAAAUAACGCGAGAUCCGCUGUGGCAAUUGAGGAAGGUACAUGUGCUGUUUUUCUAAAGUUUGUAAUAUCACAGAUUGAUGACAUAACCGGUGAAUAAAUAACAGAGUGAUGAGCGAAGAGAAGUUUUCGGGUUGGAUUGACUACAGGUGGUGUAUGAUUGCAUCGGAGUUCGCGGAUAUAUGAUGAGCCUCAAUGAUGUGCCUCAAUAAAGAUUAACCACAUCACACACACACACCGACAUACAUAAAAAUCCCGGGUGUCACGAGCAACAACAGAAUAUCAUCGCAAUGAACUCCAAUCCCUUCAUUUAUAAAGCAACGCGUCUGAGGAACACCUGUUCAACACGUGAGGAUUUCCACCAUACUGAGGAGCAUCUCCAUUUCAACACAACGGGUUACAUCAAGUAGACAUUCCCUGAAACUAUUGGGACUUUGCUAUUAAUCACUGAUCUUGCUUUUUAUUAUUCAUUACCAGAUCUCCAAAUAAUAUUUUUUUAUCUAACUUUGUUAUUUCUUUAUUAUUGUUAAUGUUGUUAUGCAGGAUUACACUUUGUUUUGUUCAUUUAUUUGAAUGCUUUAUUAUGCUCAAUGAUUCAUAUUUUAAAUACACUGAUACACUUGAGAAAUUGUA